UCAUCUCAAGGAGUCACCAUGGGGUGUCCUCUGAGCUUGUCUUUGCUUUUGGGGUCAGGCAACAGCUCGUGCUCACUUUCCUAAGUCACUGCGAGGAAUGCUUUCUAAGCUGUGCUUCUUGCGAAAUCAGCUAGCCACUGGCUUUAGCGAUAGCUCUCCUACCCUCGAACAAAACACCUGACAUGCAGAUUCCUAAUUCCAUAACUUUCCAGUUAUUCUUCCCCAACACAGCUCUGAGUUUCAUCCCAAGGUGCUAAGAAAUAUGUGCAUGCAGUGGAUGCCAGGCUACAGCUGAACAAAGCCGGUGCCUUGUGCUGGAGAUGGAGCACACACAGUGUUUGCCUUGUCCCCUGACAUUCCAGAGGCCACCCACAUCCACGCAGUCAGACUUCUUGGAAAACUGCUCUGGUCAUGGCCCAGUGCUCAGAAUCUACAUGAGCAAUUUACCUCCAAAGAAGAAAAGAACUUGGAAGUCAUUUUCCGGAGGACAGGGUACACGAAGCUUAGAACAAUGAAUGAUCAGCAAUCCUUGAUGGUGUCCAUUUUAGAAACGGAAUGAAAACAAGAGCCAUUAUUGAGGAGUUAGAAGGUAGAACAAACUGUCUUCCGUUGAAGUCAUCAUUGUCUUGUAACGCUGGCCCUCAGAAGUGAGAGACCGGAUAAAAUACAACAAUAAUUAUUACAAGUAAUAAGGGGAACUAUGUCCAAGAAAUGACAGUUUCAGACGGACGAGUCCAUUUGAACAAUCAAUAACACUUCAAUGCUCCUCUUAGAUGAUAUUUUGUGGUUAUAGCUUAUGGUUAGCAUUCUCUUCACAUCAAAGGACUCACUUUAUUGGUUCUCUGGAGAUGUACAGGAGUUGGAAGAAAAGAACUAAACCGCUGCAUUGACGUCGACUGAGAGGACGGUGAAAAGUCGCCUUCUGUGCCUACUCUACCUUUCACAAACACACCCUUUAAUAGAGUACAUUUGAAAACAAGUUGCAAUCUUACUGCCGCAAAGUAUCUAAUGAAUCACCAAGUUAUUUUGUUAGAAUUGCUUCAGAUGACUAAAAUAUCAAUUUGCUUCUGAUUGGAAUCCAGACAACUUGGUAUCAAAACAAUAAUUAACUUUCUUCCCCACCGCCUUCCCAUUUCUCUUUUUGAGACAGGCUCUCACUCUGUAACCCAGGCUAGCCUUGA